UACGUAGGGGCCAAGCGUUGUCCGGAAUUAUUGGGCGUAAAGCGCGCGCAGGCGGUCCUUUAAGUCUGAUGGGAAAGCCCACGGCUCAACCGUGGAGGGUCAUUGGAAACUGGGGGACUUGAGUGCAGAAGAGAAGAGUGGAAUUCCACGUGUAGCGGUGAAAUGCGUAGAGAUGUGGAGGAACACCAGUGGCGAAGGCGACUCUUUGGUCUGUAACUGACGCUGAGGCGCGAAAGCGUGGGGAGCAAACAGG
rnacentral:rRNA from 1 species